rnacentral:rRNA from 1 species
UACGUAGGUGGCAAGCGUUAUCCGGAAUUAUUGGGUGUAAAGGGAGCGUAGGCGGACUUUUAAGUGAGAUGUGAAAUACUCGGGCUCAACUUGAGUGCUGCAUUUCAAACUGGAAGUCUAGAGUGCAGGAGAGGAGAAUGGAAUUCCUAGUGUAGCGGUGAAAUGCGUAGAGAUUAGGAAGAACACCAGUGGCGAAGGCGAUUCUCUGGACUGUAACUGACGCUGAGGCCCGAAAGCGUGGGGAGCAAACAGG